rnacentral:rRNA from 2 species
UAGGUGGCAAGCGUUGUCCGGAAUUAUUGGGCGUAAAGCGCGCGCAGGCGGCUUCUUAAGUCUGAUGUGAAAUCUCGGGGCUCAACCCCGAGCGGCCAUUGGAAACUGGGGAGCUUGAGUGCAGAAGAGGAGAGUGGAAUUCCACGUGUAGCGGUGAAAUGCGUAGAGAUGUGGAGGAACACCAGUGGCGAAGGCGACUCUCUGGUCUGUAACUGACGCUGAGGCGCGAAAGCGUGGGGAGCAAACAGGAUUAGAUACCCUGGUAGUCCACGCCGUAAACGAUGAGUGCUAGGUGUUAGGGGUUUCGAUGCCCGUAGUGCCGAAGUUAACACAUUAAGCACUCCGCCUGGGGAGUACGGCCGCAAGGCUGAAACUCAAAGGAAUUGACGGGGACCCGCACAAGCAGUGGAGCAUGUGGUUUAAUUCGAAGCAACGCGAAGAACCUUACCAGGUCUUGACAUCCUUUGACCACCCAAGAGAUUGGGCUUCCCCUUCGGGGGCAAAGUGACAGGUGGUGCAUGGUUGUCGUCAGCUCGUGUCGUGAGAUGUUGGGUUAAGUCCCGCAACGAGCGCAACCCUUGAUCUUAGUUGCCAGCAUUAAGUUGGGCACUCUAAGGUGACUGCCGGUGACAAACCGGAGGAAGGUGGGG